UCCGUUCUUUCUCCUUUCUGACAGCUGACAGUGCAAUGUUGAAAUGGUUUCCCGAGAUCAUUGCAUGUGGACUGAUCGUCAUCCUCUUUAUCCUACUGCUGCUCUGUUUCCUGUAAAAAGGUUCGAUGCUGCUUCGACCCUGCGCUGUCUUUGACAAAGACUAGAUUUUCCUGUCGAUGGACUGCUGAAUAUUUUAAAGCCAUCUUCGAUCUCCUUGACCCCAUCAGCAUUGACCAGGUCUUUCAUGAUUGAAAACUGGAUGAAUGUUGAGGGUCUGCCAUGAGGUAUAGAUAGAGUGGACAGCCACAGACUUUUUCCUAAGGUGGAGGUAGCUAUUACGAGGGGGCAUAGUCUUAAAGUGAGUGGAGGUAGA